rnacentral:rRNA from 1 species
UACGAAGGGGGGCUAGCGUUGUUCGGAAUUACUGGGCGUAAAGCGCACGUAGGCGGAUCGAUCAGUCAGGGGUGAAAUCCCCAGGGGCUCAACCCCUGGAACUGCCUUUUGAUACUGUCGAUCUGGAGUAUGGAAGAGGUGAGUGGAAUUCCGAGUGUAGAGGUGAAAUUCGUAGAUAUUCGGAGGAACACCAGUGGCGAAGGCGGCUCACUGGUCCAUUACUGACGCUGAGGUGCGAAAGCGUGGGGAGCAAACAGG